ACCUAAAUAGGAAAAUAAUAAAAGGUAAUAAAUACAAAUAUUCCUAAUUUACAAUCUAAUUUGCAGCUAAUGCCUUAAUUAAGGGAUUCUAACACCAACACUCCUCUCAAGUUUGUCUAUGGAUAUUACACAUGCCUAACUUGUAAAUUAAAGUAUGGAAUUCUCUAUUGGUUAGACCUUUAGUAAAUACAUUGGCUAAUUGCUCCUUUGAAGUUGUGUGAGAAAUAGUUAAUGAACCAUCCACUAUCUUCUCCUUUAUGAAGUGUAUCAAUCUUUAUGUGCUUGGUUUGAUCAUGUUGAAUUGGAUUGUGGACAAUAGUAAUAGUGGUCUUGUUGUCACAGAACAAUAUAAAUCAUUUGUUUCUGACAACUUCAACUCUUCCAUCAGUUUUCUCAACCACAAUAGUUCACAAAUGACCUGUGCCAAAGCUGUAUACUUUGCUCUUGCACUUUACCUUGCUGUCACAUUUUUUUUGGGCUUCCUAAGGGAACUAGAUUACCUCCAACAAAUGUGUAACAGCUCAGUGUUGACUUUCUAUCAUUAAGAGAUCCAAUUUAAUCUGCAUCUGUAAAGGCUUUUAUAUGAAGAAUACCAUGCUUUGAAAAAAGCAAUCCUUUACCUAGUGCAGAUUUUAGGUAUUUCAAAAUACAAAACACCAUUUCUAAGUGAGAUUCAUGGGGAUCAUGGCAUCAUGCAUAUACUGGAUCACCAUAAUAACAGCAUAAGUUAUAUCUGGUCUAGUGUGUGAGAGAUAUAUCAAUUUCCCAACUAACCUCUGAUAUAGUAAACAUAAGAGACUGAGGUUCCUCAAGUAAAUGUCUAUUUUUCCACUCAGACACCCCAUUUUGUGCACUAGUAUUUACAUAACUAGUUUGAUGUAAUGUACCAUUUGAAUCCAAAUAGGCACGAAAAACUCCAUUUAUAUAUUAUGUACCAUUAUCUGUUCUCAAAACUUUAACUUAAGCAUUAAAUUGUGUAUAAAUCAUUUUGUGAAACUGUUGAAAGCAAGAAAAUAUUUCAUUUUUUUUUGCUUUCAUCAAAUAAAUCCAAGUCAUUCUAGUGCAACAAUCAACAAGGAACCAAACUUUUAUUAUUUAUUGAAGAAUAGCAAUAUCUUAUGUGUUUAGCAAGUUCACUAGCAUCACAUACUAGUAAAUUUAAUUUGCAUUGUCUAAACAAAGUAGGAUAUAACCUCUCUAAAACUGAAAAAGAUGGAUGUCUUAGAUGCUUAUGCCACUAAUGAUCUGGUCCUUAGCACUCAUAGAUUGUCCUAAAAAAGCUUGGUCUAUACUAGGAUGUGAGAAACCACAACUGUCAUGUAAGAGAUACAAGUCGUCUUGUAAUCUACCAUUGCCAAUCAUCUUCCCUGUGUUCAACUCCUGAAAUAUGCAAUGAGUGAGGAAAAAAAUAAAUUUUGCAAUUAAAAGUUUGAGUAAUGGAGCUGAUAGACAAAAUAUUAAUAGAAAAGUUAGGAACAUGAAGAGCAGAAAUUAGAUUUAUCGUGGGAGUCAUGGUUUGAAAUAACGGUAGUUAUGUAACGUAACAACUGUUAUUUAUAGGUUUUAAAGGCUCAUUUAUGUGUCAACCCCUUAUUUAUAGGUGAAUCCUGAGUUGUAUGUGUGAUAGCCAUUAUGAUCGUUACUGGACAAUAAUGGCUGUUAUUGACCAUUAUGUAAUGGUAAUGGUCGUUAUUUCAAUUAUACUUCUACUACAAAUCACAUGGAAAAAAUAUUUUUUCUUCUCUUUUCAUUGUCUGCGUGCUUUUUUCUGUCACAGAUGCUGUUUCUUUCGUAUUCUCUCAAAUUUUCAUCCAAA
rnacentral:misc_RNA from 1 species